rnacentral:rRNA from 1 species
CAGAGGUCCCAAGCGUUGUUCGGAUUCACUGGGCGUAAAGGGUGCGUAGGCGGGUCUUUAAGUCAGGGGUGAAAUCCUGGAGCUCAACUCCAGAACUGCCUUUGAUACUGAAGAUCUUGAGUUCGGGAGAGGUGAGUGGAACUGCGAGUGUAGAGGUGAAAUUCGUAGAUAUUCGCAAGAACACCAGUGGCGAAGGCGGCUCACUGGCCCGAUACUGACGCUGAGGCACGAAAGCGUGGGGAGCAACCAGG